rnacentral:rRNA from 1 species
CGUGGGUAACCUGCCCAAGAGACUGGGAUAACACCUGGAAACAGAUGCUAAUACCGGAUAACAACACUAGACGCAUGUCUAGAGUUUAAAAGAUGGUUCUGCUAUCACUCUUGGAUGGACCUGCGGUGCAUUAGCUAGUUGGUAAGGUAACGGCUUACCAAGGCAAUGAUGCAUAGCCGAGUUGAGAGACUGAUCGGCCACAUUGGGACUGAGACACGGCCCAAACUCCUACGGGAGGCAGCAGGA